AGAUUGAACGCUGGCGGCAGGCCUAACACAUGCAAGUCGAGCGGCAGCACGGGUACUUAUACCUGGUGGCGAGCGGCGGACGGGUGAGUAAUGCCUAGGAAUCUGCCUGAUAGUGGGGGAUAACGUUCGGAAACGGACGCUAAUACCGCAUACGUCCUACGGGAGAAAGUGGGGGAUCUUCGGACCUCACGCUAUCAGAUGAGCCUAGGUCGGAUUAGCUAGUUGGUAGGGUAAAGGCCUACCAAGGCUACGAUCCGUAACUGGUACUGAGAGGAUGAUCAGUCACACUGGAACUGAGACACGGUCCAGACUCCUACGGAGGCAGCAGUGGGG
rnacentral:rRNA from 1 species